AACGAACGCUGGCGGCAGGCCUAACACAUGCAAGUCGAACGCCGUAGCAAUACGGAGUGGCAGACGGGUGAGUAACGCGUGGGAACAUACCCUUUGGUUCGGAAUAACUUGAGGAAACUUGAGCUAAUACCGGAUACGGCAGAGAUGCGAAAGAUUUAUCGCCGAAGGAUUGGCCCGCGUUCGAUUAGCUAGUUGGUGAGGUAAUGGCUCACCAAGGCGACGAUCGAUAGCUGGUCUGAGAGGAUGACCAGCCACACUGGGACUGAGACACGGCCCAGACUCCUACGGGAGGCAGCAGUGGGGAAUAUUGGACAAUGGGCGCAAGCCUGAUCCAGCCAUGCCGCGUGAAGGAUUAAGGCCCUAUGGGUUGUAAACUUCUUUUAGACGGGACAAAACCCCUUUACGUGUAAAGGGUUGAUGGUACUGUCAGAAUAAGCAUCGGCUAACUUCGUGCCAGCAGCCGCGGUAAU
rnacentral:rRNA from 1 species